rnacentral:lncRNA from 1 species
CUCCACCUUAUAUAUAUUAUCAUGUAGGAGAUAGAGUGCUUGCUGCAGUAAGUUCAGGUGUUUUGUGUUGCAGAGAAAACUGUAAAAUCUGUUUUAGAUGUUUGCAUGUUUACCUAGUUUUUCACUUCAAAAAAUUGGUGAAGAGACUUCUGUCAAAAGAAUUUCAGUGGGCUACCUACCACCUCUUUCCCACAGUGGAAGCAGAGAUUGGUGAUUAAUAUCCUCUGUCCUGCGGGGGAAAAAAUUCAUGAUGUCAGAAAAUGAGUGAGUCAACAGAAAGCCUACCUAAGAGUCUCCUUGGCUGAGGAGGAAGACGAAAGCACAGUUCUGAGCAUGAGAGCUCACAUUCUGUUUCUACCAGGUGCUGAAGAAAAGCAAGACAGGUGGUUAAGACUGAAGAGUUGAUCCUGCGCUGUGCUGUGGAGUGGGCAGCUUCUCUCCAUCUUCUCUCACCCUGACACACUGUCUUAGGAUUCCAGUCUCAGAAGCCAGGAACAUAAGCUCCAGGAAAGCCACAGACUAUGGCCACCUACAUCUUGAAGCUCCGUGCCUGCCCUUGGGAGACACUAAAGAAAGGGUCUCACUAUAUUGCCCAGGCUGGCCUUGAACUCUUGGGCUCUAGCAAUCCUCCCAUCUCAGCUUGCCAAGUAGCUGGUACUACAGGCCCAUGCCACUACAUCCAGCUAUAUUAACUCAACUUUGAAGACAAUGUGACAUCCAGGCUGACAUGCAACUUACUGCCAAAUAUAUUUUCCUAUAGCUUUAUUUAAAAUAUUGACUAAAAAUAGGAUCAUCUAAACCCUAAGAUAGUAUUGAGUUUUGUUUAUAAUAUAGUAUUACUUUAUUGUUCUCCUCUAGAAUGCAAAGCCUUGGUAUUGCCUGCAAUGUAGAAUAUUUUAAUCGUAACAUGUAAAAAUACAUAAGAAAAAUAUUAACGAUUCAUGCCUUUAAAUAUAUUUGCAAGUUUGACUAACAUAAAAUGUAGCGUGGAGUAUCUCUAACUUUACCCUUCCAAAUAUAUAAUUCCUACUUAAAGCCAACUGGAAUCAGGCUAAACAAUUUUGGUGACAAAAUAAGAGCCAUUAAUAUUGUAAAAUUAGGCCAUACCUUGGUAUUAAAACAUACUAAUUUAAAAAAAUAGAUAUUUUAAUGAACUGACUGCAUAGUUGAUUUAAGAGCCAAUCGCACAGGUCUCAGUUUAAAAGUUGGUAUAGUAAAAGAUUAAAAUAAAACCCAAUCAAUUAUGUUAUUACAUAUAAUCAUAUACAAAAUAAGUAUAAAUUUGUACUAUAUUUAAUUUAAUAGCAAAGAUAAUAGGAGUUCUUCUGUUAAUCAAGCAUAGAAUAACAAUUAAAAAUUAAUAUAACAAAGUUGUUACUCAAAACAUUAAUUAUGAUCUCCAGACAAGGUAAUCUACGCAUUCAGUCGAACAGAAAUAUUAUAAAAUAUGAAGUGUAAUCAUUUAACAUAUAGGAACUACAAAUAUGACGCUAAUCUAUUGAAAUUCCUACUCACUACUUCUAAUAAGAAAUCACAGCUAUGGGUCAAUAGGAAUAUGGAAAGGUAAUAACUGUGUAAUGCACACAACCUUCAAAAGGUAAAUUGAGCCAUUGUUUUUCUUAGGAAUGCUACACAGGGGAAUGGCUGGGAUGCACUUAAAGAUCACUUACCUUGAAAUUAUAAUCCCAUUUACCUGCUCUCUAAUAAAGGUAAAUAAAAGAUGGUAGUGUAAGUAAAGUCUAAAUAUUAAUCUAACACAUUUCACCUAUGGAAAAAAAUUCCUUAUAUUGUGACUCUGGAAAUUAUUUGAUACAGAUGUAUAUAGAAUUCACAACAAGUAUUUUCUAAGUCAACUUGCUCAGUCACAUGAAAAAUAAGUUAUUUUUAGUAUCAUAUUUUUCUCCCUUUUUUUCUUUGUUGCAUAGUGUUUGUUGAACAUAAGUGUUCUGAUCUAAAAUUAGAUUCUCACACUGUAUGUAGCUGCCUAGUUAUUCAAAAAGAAAUGUAAUUAUGUGCACAUAUCAUAGGGAAAUAUUCUAAAUUGAUUGGAACAUAAUUAUAAUGUUCAAACAGAAUAUAAGAACACCUGAAAACAAUAGAAUUAAUGGAUGACAGAACUUUAUAAAAAUAAUUUUUAAAAUGUCUCAGUGAGAUGAAUUUUUUUCUCUUCAUUUAAUCCUGGCAAUAGGCAUUUCAUGGCACAGAAGGGUUUGUGCAAUUUAUUUAAGCUUCCAGACCACGUAGGUACCCCACAAUUUUGCUAAUGAUGCCCAGGAUGCCCUCAAUUCAAACAGGUUAGGCCACAUAUAAGAUGACAGUGAAUUGAAUUCGUGGUUAUUUAAGGACUAUUUAGUUAGGGGUGUGAGAAACUACACUUGAAAUCAAAGUUGACCAAAGAAGUGCAUUUAUUACUAACAUGUGCUUAGUUUCAUUCAAUUACAAGGAUAAGCAAUUAGAUAUUAUAUUAUGAAUAUGUAUAGCUGAAGUUUGUAAGCAAUUAGAGCAAAAUGACAAAGUAGUUUUAUGACUGCUUAUUUAGCUAAAUGGACCAUAUUUAUUGUAGAACACCUUUCCCCCUAUUAAAAAAAUGAGAAAUUUUAGUUCAAAAUUUGGCAUAACAAAUAACUGAUAGCAUUUAGCUAUUCCAUUUGAAAUACUGUAUAUUUAGCUUAUUAUAUCUUAACCACUGAAAGAGAAUCUAAUUAUUUCCAGUUUUUCGACAACAUCAAGAGGCAAUGUAGUGUAGUAGAAAAAUUGCUGGAUUUACUGCCAGAAUCUGGCUGUGCAAACUUAAACGAGGCAUUUACCCUAUGCUUCAUUUUACUAAUGUGAAAAAUAGAAUAACUGUCUUAUAAGACUAUUGUAAGAAUUGCAUGAGAAAACAGAUAAAUACGUGUUGAACUGUAUUCCUUCUCUUUUCCCCCACUCACCUAAGAAGUAAACAAAACCAAAGUAGCUGGAUAGAUUCCAUCUUUUGAGGCUUCAUGACACUGUUUCCAUUUUUCUCUGGAUAUUCCAACAAUCUUGCUUCUAUUUAUGACUUUCUUUUCUAAGAUUGAAAGGACUAUGGGAGAUAAGGUGAUGGAAUAUUUGUGCUGUUCACAUGGUGAGAUUCACAAUUGUACUGAUAGCUAGCUUGCUUGGAAUACUUUAUUAGGACCUGAAUCCUAGCUCUGCUGCUAGCGGUGUAAUCUUUAUGCUUUAGUUCCUCCUGAUAAAGGCUUAAAGGAGAGAACUUUAAGGUACAUUUCAGUUCUGUAAUUCUAUGAACUCCAACAAUUUUUAUUCUGCCUUGAACCUGCACCACCUCAGAGAUUUUUCAAAGAAUAAUUUUGUCCUUGCCAGCAAAAGAUAAAGAAUUGAGUUAAAGUAGUAAGCAGUGCGCAUUUACUUUCCACAGGUUGGAAUAUGAGAAGAAUAGAACCACUGAGCAAUUAUUCCUCUUUCUCAUCUCAACACCUCUUAUCCUUUUGCUCCCUUUCCCUCUCUCUGCUCCCCUCUGGAGGCCUUGCCAUUUUCCAAAUUGUAUUCAUGCCUUUUCCUAAAUUUGUAACAUUCUUUAACCAGUGUAUAAAAAGACUAUGGAAGAUACAUAGAUAUUUGACCCUGUCCUUUUCAAAUGUAAAUAUGUAUAUGAAUGAUCGGAGAUUUUGUUAAAAUACAAACUUGGAUUCAGUGUGUUUAGCAUGGGUUCGGAUCCUGCAUUUCUAACAAGUUCCCAGGUGAUGCUACUACUCCUGGAAUCACCCUGUGGGUAGCAAGGGGUGGAACCAUUCUGUGAACUAAAGAAACCCUAAAUGUAAAACUGAAAAGCAUAGUAAUAAAUGUUAUAUUUCAAUUUUGUUUAAAAAAAAUCCUUUUUAACGACCUUCUCAAAAAUAUAAUCGCACAUCAAAGCUGAAAUUUCCAGAAAGGCAAUGUAUUAUUCCUACAAUUGCUCUAUUCUCAUGUCAUUUAUUAGAUUAUGACCUAUGCAUUUUUUAAUUUGGCAAAGUGCUGUCAUUAGACAAUGUAAACAUCACUAGUUAAUUUUGAAAACAUAAACAUAUAAGAGAAUUUAAUUAAGCUAUAUAAUUCAGAUGAUCAAAUUAUUUAAAAUAAAAAUUUCUCAAUAUUUAUGACAUUUUAUAAGCUUUUUGUGCGUGUGUUCCAAAGUCAAAGUAAACAUGACACAAAAUAUUAUAGUGCUCUGAAAUACUGCAACAGAUAACUACUAGUCAUCCAAAAGAGUAAAUUUAUAGAAAUCAUUUAUUUAUCUACCUAUGUGAAGCUACCUAUUUUUUUUUUCACUUUUUACUUAAAAUUCCUUAGUAUUCAAUAGCAUUGCUACUAGCUGACAGAAAAUGUAAACCAAAAUAUACACCAAAUUGCUAACAGUAGUUAUUUGAGAAAUGAAAGAAUUUGAGUUAUGACAUUGUUCACUCAAGAGUUAUGGAAAAGUUUAAAGAUUAAAAGUGGUAUUCUAAAAUUCCACACUGCUUGCUUUUAUAAAAAUGUACACGAUCAUUCCCCUUUCUUAAUAAAUAUAUUCUAGAUUUUCUUAUUUUUAGCAUAAGCUCAGUAGAGCCCCAGGUUCCUGGUAGAAACGGAACAGUAACAACAAGAAGAACAAGUUUUAUUUAAAAACAAAUAUCACUUACAGGAUUUCUACUAUAUCUGUACAUUUUACUGCACUUUUCCUCAUAGAAGAGAGUACUGAUGAAGGAUUUACCUACAUGUAUUUUGCAAAGGCACUGUUUUCUGUAGGCUUAAUAUCAAGGAUGGUACCAAUAAAUAAUAGUUGAAGAGAAAAAAAUUGGUGGUCAGACAAGGUGAGUAAGAUAUAGCGAAGGCAGUAGCAUCUUAAUCACACUGGUACAACAUAGGAAGAAUUCUCAGUGUUUGCCCUCAAUUAUGGCCCAGAAGAUGAUUUUGUGUCCUAAGAUCCUGGUAACACUGUAUGAGUGUUAGGCCCAAAAUUAACCCUGCACAACCAGUUUCAAAUCCUAUGAGAAUUCAGUAAAUUUUUCUAGUAUUCAACUUAAGAAACUACAGACUCAUGCAAAUAUUAAAACGACAUUCAAAAAGGUUUUUAAAAGGUCUUGCUAAAAUAUCAACAAUACCAAAAACUCUGUAGAUUGGUUUUUAAAAUGUUAUUCUUGUAGAAAAUUUUAGGCUUGCAUGGAAUACUGCAUCUGUGAGACUCAUUUACCUCUAUAGUAGUAUUUAUCUUUUAAGCAGAACGAAGUUUAGUUUUCCUUUUAAAUAAAUCACCUACCACUUAAUAAUGUGGGAAAUGUAACACAGACAACCAAUUCAUUUUGUUAAUCAAAAAAGAAAACUGAAAGAAAUGAAGCUGUUUUCAAGAGUAAGCUUCGUUAUGCAAAGGAAAAUAUUUCUUUUUUAUUAGCUCCAUCUGAUGGCUGAUCUGGUUUUUACACACUGCCUGGAGAUAAAUUUCCAACAGUAAUUUUGUGGUUUUCUCUCCCUCUUCUCUGUCAGAAAGGUGUGCUAUAUUGAGAAGAGGCUACUCAACUUUUUAUGUGACUAAUUAGUUUACUGAAUUCUGCAAAAUAUUUACAACUGUAAACAGUAAAGAAAUCUUGUUAAUCUUGUCAGAUAUUGUUCCUUCCAGUUGAGGAACAUAAAUGUCAGUGAUUAGUAUUGUAAAAUUUAAAAUUUGAAAAUAUGGACAUAUUGUCAAUAUUAUCCUGUAUGCACAUCUUCAUACAAACCUCUCAGAUAGGCUUAGCUUACCUCUUGCCUAAUUUAUGUUUGGCAUGUACAUGGAGAUAACAAGUUGUCAUACACAAAACUGAUUUUAUUGUCCUCAUUCAUAUUUUAUAUUAAUGGACCAAUUUGGUGAAACCUGUUUAUAUGAUAUGCCAUCCUAAUAUUACCGGAUAUGAGCCUGCAUGCUUGAAAAUCUAAUUCUGCCAAUGUAGAUAAAAACCAGCUUAAGAUUUAAAUGUUGAAUGUUGAAAUAUAUAACUGAGCUUAAGCAUCAAAUAAUAAGUAAAUUAAGAAAAUACUAUACCUCAGCAUCAUAUUCCCAUAACUGAUUUCCUCUCAUAUGGUGGCAUUUUAACAUGAUUACAGGUCCAUUGAGUCUAGAAACAUCCAAGCACAAGUCAUCGGUUCGGAUUUCUUUGUCAGCAGUGUAAGAAAAUACCUGAAAAUAUAAAUUCAGCUAAUAAAAAAAAUGUAUGUUUUAAAAUGUCACAAUAGAGCAGAUCUAUCCAGGGAAGCUUUCGUAUCAGAUAAACUUGUGUUUUCAAACGAUUGCUGGUAUGUUAUCUUGAGAAAGCUAAUUCAUCUCUUUGAGUCUUUUUCCUCAACUGCAAAAUAGGGACAAAGUCAUCUGUUUUAUGAUGUUUUGGUGAGGCCUCAGUUUAACAAAACAAACCUUUAAAUACCCAUUAUUUGCUGGCACUGUAGUUCUUUCAUGAUACUUGCAUUAUAAAGCUCUCAAUAGGUUAAGUAAAAUAAAGUUUACAAACUGCAUGGAGCUCAGUGAAGGCAGUCCCUGUUCCUACUAUUGUAUGACCAGUUCUCCAAUUCUACAAUGUCAUUUUUUCAUAUAGAAGUUUAAAUCUUUCUUCUGAUAACAUAAGUACAUCGUGUAAGUUUUAUUAAAUACUGUCAGUGAGCUUCUGAAGGUUGUAGAAGUAUCUUCUCUAGAGAUCUUAUUAAAGGUAGGCUCUACACUUAUCUCUCUAAUAUGGUUUGCCUAAGCUUAACUACAUCAAUUCUUCUGAAAAUAUCCAAGAAAUGUCACGGUGGAUUAUGGACUCUUUGUUAGAUAAUUCAAUUGAACUAUAAUAAUCUUUAUUAUUUUGUUCCUGGUGUGAAUAAUUUAUUUACAACAUUGAUUAUUAAGGUUUCAUGAGGGUUUUUUUUUUUUUUUUUUUAGAUGGAGUCUUGCUCUGUCGUCAGGCUGGAGUGCACUGGCGUAAUCUGGGCUUACUGCAACCUCCGCCUCCCGGAUUCAAGCGAUUCUCCUGCCUCAGCCUCCCGAGUGGCUGGGACUACAGGCAUGCGCCACCAUGCCGGCCUAAUGUUUUGUAUUUUAGUAGAGACGGGGUUUCACUAUGUUGGCCAGGAUGGUCUCAAUCUCCCGACCUCAUGAUCCACCUGCCUCGGCCUCCCAAAGUGCUGGGAUUACAGGUGUGAGCCGCCAUGCCCAGCCUCAUGAGGGUUAUUAAGCACAUAAUUAUAGAAUGUGUUUUCUUCUUUUAACUACGAUAAGCAUUGUUCAGUAUUCUGUGGGUUUUUCUUUCUCCUUGCAAUGUCAACAGAAUACAUAAUGAGAAAGGUCAUGUCAGGGUCUUUUUGUUUCUCAAAGAUAUCUGAUGAAAUCUGAGGAAGUCAGCUUUACAAAUAACAUAAACUCUGGAGCUCCGUAAGCUGAACGAGUUAGUCUUGGAAGAGUUGCCUCUGCAGCAUUGCUACUCAGAACUUCUAUGAAAACCACAAGAAGUGGUGAGAGGAAGCGGCAAAAUCAAUGACAGAACACAAAUACCCUCUUCUGCCAACCGCUUAAAAGGAAAUUAUGGGGGGCUGGGUCGGUGGUUCGGUGGCUCACGCCUGUAAUCCCAACACUUUGGGAGGCUAAGGCGAGAGGAUUGCUUGAGCCCAGGAGUUUGAGACCAGCCAGGGAAACAUACAGAGAUGUCAGCUCUACAAACGAUAAUAAAAAGAAAAUUAUCCAAGCAUGGUGGUACACGCCUGUUGUCCCCACUACUUGGGAGGCUGAGUGGGAGAGGCUGAGGUUGGCAGAUUGCUUGAGCCAUGAUCACACCACUGCACUCAGUCUGGGUGACAGAGCAAGACCCAGUCUCAAAACAACAACAACAACAACAACAAAACCCAGAAAAUUCUUCACAAAGGUUAUACAUUUUCUCAAUAAUAUACAAAUUUGAGAAAUGUGAAGUACAUUUAAUUGAAUUAUGUAAAAUAUAACACAGACUUCAUAUAUUCAAUUCACAAAUAAAUUUUCUAGGUUCUUUACUUUUUCAUGUUCAUAUGUUUUUUAUGAAGAACAUAUGGUCACCUAAGAAGAAUAAAAUAAAAACCCAUCAAACAGAAAUAUUCAUAUCCUCCCCAAACCGUAUUAUCUUAAACACAAUUACAAACUUAUUUAAUUACACAAGUGAGAAUCUUAAGCUGAGAGAAGAAAAUUUCUAGAGAAAUUUCUUUUGUUCAUUAUAGGAUUAUUUCAAUACUGAAGGAUAGUCUUCGACAUUAGAAUUGCUUCCUUUUAAAGUGUACAAAUGCCAGUGUAAAAGGAAACAUCAUAACAUCCAUUUCAGCCUUAAUUUUCUAAUGGCUCAGGCCGUUUUUAUACAGUGUAUUCUUCUCCAGUGUCUUAAGAUAGUUUGGAAACAGUACCUGUUGAACCUUUCAGAGAGCAGUCUACCAUAUAUCCCUUGAUCCUCAAUUUCUAAUUUAGAUUCAUUUGUGGUUGUUACAGUUAUAAGUAACGUACAUUUAAGAAAGAUAUAUCUGUAGAACAGUUUCUGCACUUAUAUGUGUAUAUAAAUUAUAUGUCUGCUAAAUUUUUUUUGGCCUUUGUACUUGAAAAAAAAUUAACAGAUGUUAAAAUAUUUGGCUCACAAGCAAUGUUAAAAACAAUCUGUAGAUAAUGCUUCCUUAUUUUUCUUGGAUUAAUGUAAAAUCAGGAUUAAUUUGCUUUGUGUACCUGGGAAAUAAUCUCGUUUGUAUGCUUGUUUCUAGGAUGUCUUUUACUCUUCAUAAUAAUAAAAAAGUCAGUGCAUGUCAGUAUAUACAUAUCCUUCUUGAUUUUAUCUGGAAAUUAUUAGGUUUGAUCUCAAUUAUUUAUCAUUUAUAUCCAUUAGCUUUUUAACCCAUAAUUGUCAUUAUUAAAAUUUUUUUCAUGUUUACUACUGUGAAAGGUUCAUGGAAUUCACUUUGGGUAUACUGAAAACAUUAUAUGUGAAAUACUUUGCAGAGAUUCUAGCACACAGACAAAAUUCAGUAGCUGAUAUUUAGAGUUAUUAUUCCCAGUCUUGGAGUUAAUCCCAAAUUGAGGAUUUCUUCCCAAUACUGCCAAGAAAUUUUAGUAUAAGGGUCCAGCAAUGUUUGCUCUUGCCUGUCUGUGCUGACCCUUGGCCACUACACAAGUCCCGAGAGAGAGUUUAUAAUACCUGAUGACAGAUGUUUCUGAUAAUUUCAGCAUUGUAUUAUGACCCUCUAGAUUAACUACUUAUGAGUUCCUUUAUGACUUUGGGGACAAUCUCCAAAUCUCAUGCUGUAUUUCCUAGGAAGCAGCUAUUCCCUAUAGCUGUUGCUUGUUUUUCCAUCUCACUACUCCACAGACACUCUCAGUUAGUAUGUGUAAGGCCCAGCCUGUCCUUGCUGUGGUUGAAACCUUUAUGCCUGACUAUGUGAGUUAAAAUAUUUCUAACCUGCACACCAAUGAAGCACUUUACCUUAAACUAUCACAUAUACUGAUAACUACACGAUACAAGAUUGAUUCAUUCAUUAAUAAAAUCUCAUUGUACAUUCUCUUAAAAUAAUGGAAACUAUUCUUCUUCCUUUUCUAAUUAUCUCUCAAAUUGCUUUAUCAUCGGUUACCAAUAGUUAGUAAAGCAGAACUGUGUUACAUGAACCAUAGAUUUAGCAUAUGUUUCCAUUUGUUCCAGUGGCAGCCUGACUUUAAUGACAAUUAAUUGGUUCAAAGUCUAAUCACUUUGAUUAAGCUGACUAGAAGCAGGGAAAAACAAUCAAUUUCUGUGCCUUUCCUUCCAUUAUAAAAGAGGAAACAGGGAGAAAGUUAACAUUAAUUGAACACUACCUUUUUUAAAAAAUGUGUUCUAUGCUUCGUAUAUAUUACAUUAAAUAAAUUUGCUCUAUUCUUCUAUUGUGCAAUUACAUUUAUAUUUCUAUGAAUGUAUACCAACUUACAGUACUGCAAAAUGUAACAUGUAGAGCUCUUUGUAUGAAUCCUAUGGAUUUAGUAAUUUAUAGUGUUUUUAAAAUUCUGUUUCACACUUAAUGUUCAUGUUGUCUCAACUGUAAAAUUAUGAGCUAUCUAGUAUCACAUAUAUUCUCAUGUAGUCCUUCAGUCAAGCUAGGUCUACAAACAACCACUAAAAUGGCCAUUUUUGAGUCAACUCUUUUAAUCUCAGCUAUCUUAUAAGACGGUGAUAAUGAUACAGGUGAUGAUGUCUAUGCUCCAUUUUAUGGACCUUGUUGAUUAUUAUGCCUUAAUCCCAGCAGUUUGGGAGGCCCAGGCGCAUGGAUCACGAGGUCAGGAGAUUGAGACCAUCCUGGCUAACACGGUGAAACCCCGUCUCUACUAAAAAUACAAAAAAUUAGCAGGGUGUGGUGGUGGGCGCCUGUAGUUCCAGCUACUCUGGAGGCUGAGGCAGGAGAAUGGCGUGAGCCCGGGAGGCGGAAUUUGCAGUGAGCGGAGAUCACACCACUGCACUCCAGCCUGGGCUACAGAGCGAGACUCCUCUAAAAAAAACAAACAAACCAACAAACUAAUCACUGUAAUAACUCAGUUUUUAUUGUUUACUGUUGUAUUAGUUCACUAGGGCUGUCAUAACAAAGUACUAUGGACUGGGUGGCCUAAGCAACAGAAAUUUAUUUCCUGACAGGUUUGGAGGCUGGAAGUCCAAGAUCAAGAUCUUAGUAGAGUUGGUUUCUGCUGAGGCCACUCUCUUUGGCUUGUAAGAGGGAUCUUCUCCAUGUGUCUUCACACGGUCUUCCUUCUCUGUUUGCAUGUGUCCUAAUCUCCUCUUUUUAUAAAAACACCAGUUACAUUAGAUUAGGGCACCCUAAUGAUGCCAAAAUUCUUUAAAGACUCAUCUCUAAUAUGGUUACAUUCUAAGGAACUGGGGGUUAAGACUUCAACAUAUGAAUUUCUAGAAGAGCACAAUUCAGGCCACAACACCACUAACCCUUUACAAUGUAUUGGAGUAGAUAACAUAUCUUUCCUUAUUCCUAAAUGAAAAACAUGGUGUACAUGAAUUUUUUUUUUUUUUUGGCUAACCUGUUUAGAUCACCUUGGGAUUCAAUUCAGAAAUUAGAAUAUACUGUUUAGUAGUACUAAUCAAAACUCUAAAUGUAAUGUAAUAUCAAAUAAUUCCCCCUUCUUCACAUUGGGCCUAAUUUAUGUUGGCAGCCUGCAGAGGCAAAGGCUUUUUCUGUUUUACGACUUAAGCUUUUUUUUUAUUCCUCACUGUUCCUACCCACUCCUAAAUUCACCCAGUCUGCUAAUCAAUUUAUUUUUUAUUUUUUAUUUUUUUAUUCUUCCAGAGUGGCAAAGCUGUAAGAGAGGUCUUACUUGAACUGGUUUGUAUAACUCCUUCCUGUUCUCUGGCCUGCCAGAGAUUUAAAGCUCCCUGUCCUGAGACCAUUUGGAUUUUCUUAGAGAUUCCCAUCUCUGAGCACCUCUUAACUGAAGUGCAAAGAGAGAGGACAAUGCAUAUUUUAUAAGUGAGCCACUUUUUGUGAAAACUCUGGGAGGCAGGCUAACCUUAGGCAGUGCAGUCAGCUCCCUGUAUUCAGUUGUCACAAGCCAGCCUUAUCAUGUGUGAGUCAGGCCACAGCCUGCCAUAUUCUCAAGUACCAGAAGCAUAUACCAAGCUCUCCAACUGGCAUCCUGCAUAAUUUGCAGGUCCCAGUGCAAAAUGAAAAUGCAGAACUUAUUUUUAUAAAAUUACCAAGAAUUCCAAGAUUGUAGGGAUCUGUGUGAUUGCAUGGGUUGCAAGCUCAAGAACUUCCUGGCCUUGAAUCCUCCUCUUACUGGAAGCUAGAAUCCCAGCCCAUCUCCUCUAGAGGGAGGGCAACUAAUCUCUCCAGGCAAAAUCUUGUAAUCUUCUUCAUAUUCUGAUACUUUCCAUUAUGGGUUGAACUGUGGCUCCCCAGAUGAUAUAUUGAAGUACUAACCACCAGUACCAAAAAAUGUGCACACUUAUGGAGAUAGUCCUCAUGAUGAAGUCAUACUGGAGUAAGAUGGGCCCUUAAUCUAAAAGGACUGGCGUCCUUAUAAGAGAAUAGAGACAGAGAAAAGACAGCCAUGUGAUGAUGGAAGUAGAGACUGGAAUGAUGCAUCUACAAGCCAUGGGACACCAAGGAUUGUUGGCAAACACCGGAAGCUAGAAGAGGAAAAAGAUGAUUCUCCCUUAGGUUUCAGAGGGAGUAUGGCACUUCUGACACCUUGAUUUCAGACUUCUAGCCUCCAGAACUAUAAGACAAUAAAUUUCUAUUAAGCAAUUUACUAGGUUUCUAUUAAGCAACCUAGUUUGCAGUAAUUUGAUACAACAGCUCCAGCAAACCAACAUACCUCCUUUUCCUCCUCAUGCUGGUUGAAGUGUCUAAAGUCACGAAAUCAGAUUUCCAAAGUGUCUUUGCAAAUUUUGCACAGGAAAAUCUGAUUUUAGAUUGUCAUUGCAAAUUUUGCAUAGGGAAAUCUGAUUUUACAUUUCACAUUUAUUGUAUCUUGGUAUCUGGGCUGAAAUUUUAACAUCCAGUUAUACUUUCCAAUAGUAUAAAAUCAACCAUUUUCAAAAUACUUUUAUAUUAUAGCUGUAUCUUCAUAAAGGUGUUUUAUAAUGUGACUAGGUGAUUUCCUGAUUUUAUGUAUACUUUAUUGAAGUCGUAAUGAUUUCUGCUUCUGAAUUUAUAUUGUAAUCAAAUGAGUACUAUCUAUAAUGGAUGAUACUACAUAUAAAGCCAAUUCAAAUCUCAAUUCCUUUUAAUCUCUGUAUUUUUCUUUUCAUAGAUGAUGUUUUAGUCCGUUCUCACACUGCUAUAAGGACAUACCUAAGACUGGGUAAUUUAUAAAGGAAAGAGGUUUAAUGGACUCACAGUUCCACAUAGCUGGGGAGGCUCACAAUUGUGGUGGAAGGUGAAGGAGGAGCAAAGGCACAUCCCACAUGGUGGCAGGCAAGAGAGCGUGUGCAGGGAAACUGCCCUUUAUAAAACCAUCAGCUCUCGUGAGACUUAUUCACUAUCAUGAGAACAACAUGGGAAAAACCUGCCCCCAUGAUUCAAUUAUCUCCCACCAGGUCCCUCUCAUGACACGUGGGGAUUAUGGGAGCUACAAUUCAAGAUGAGAUUUUGGUGGAGACACAGCCAAAUCAUAUCAGAUGAGAUGGGGUUUUGCUACAUUUCCCAGGCUGGACUCAAACUCCUAUGUGCAAGAGAUCUUCCUGCCUUAGCCUUCUGAAUAGAUGGUACUACAGAUGCAUGCCACCAUGCCCAGCUAUUUUAUGUAAAUUUUAAAUAAAAAUUAAUAUCAGUUUGAGUAGAUAUAACAUAUUCCUAAUAAGACUAUGAUCUGAGUACCAAUUUUGAUAUUAUGCCUUUAUGAUGAUAUAAAUGUUUUUUCAAAGCACUUUAAAAAUGAAUGGCAUUUCUACACAAAAAAGAGAAAGUAUUAAGGCAAACAUUGGUUUUAAUAUAUAAACUUGAAAAGUCUGUAUAUAAAAAAAACUGUAAACAAAAAGUCAGAAAAAUGUUUGCAAAAUGCAUGACCAGGGCGAUAAUAUUUAACAAAGUAUUCUUAUAAAUGACAAGAGAAAAAAGACCCCUUUCAACCCCCAAUGGAAACAUAAGCAACAAUAUCACUAGAAAAUUUGCAAUAACAAUUUUUGAAAUGUUUAAAUGCCAGUUUUUAAAAUCAUUAAAUGCACUGAUAAUGCUAGAAAUAUGGUUGAAACAAGAUAAAAUGUUUCUCCCAUACUAAAAUGGCAAAGAUAAAAAACAAAAAAAAAAUAUAAUACACAGGGUUGGCCACUGCGAUUAUAAUCCUGGAAAGUGUGGUUGGAAAUCAAUGCAAAUACAGUGACUAUAAACCUGGUGUGGAAUCAGACUUAGGUUCACACUGGCUUUACCAUUUCAAUCAUGAUACUAAUCACUCAAGAUUUCCAUUACAUUCGUAAGUAAAAUAAGAUAAUAACACUAUCUACUUCAAAGAUCAUUGUAAGUCUCAAAGAGGGUAAUUUGUAUUAAAUGUUUAUCAGAGUCCUUUUUAUUUUAGCUAUUAGUCUUAUUUGCUGAAAUCUUAAGAAAAAAGAACAAUUUGUUAGUAUACCUUAAAAGCCUUCUAAUUUUGCAUAACCUUUGAUUGAGCAAACAUACUUCUAGACAUAUUUCUAAAGAAGUAAAUAUUAGUGAUCACCAGAUUUUAGCUACAAGGAAAUUGAUAGGCUUGGUUUAUAAUACUGAACAUUUACAAAUAUUGUAUGUUAAACAAUAAAAGAAUAAAUAAAUUAUAGCUUAUCCAUUAAAAAUGUGUCCUGUAGCAAAUGUACUUCUAGAGAUAUUUCUAAAGAAGUAAAUAUUGGCGCUUGCCAGAUUUUAGCUACAAGGAAAUUGAUGGGCCUGGUUUAUAACAAUGAACUUUUAUAAAUAUUGUAUGUUAAACAAUAAAACAAUGAAUAAAUCAAUUAUAGUUUAUCCAUUAAAAAUGUGUCCUGUUUAGGUUAAGGAGUUGCUAAUGAAUAGCUAGCAAAUGAGAAGCUAAAUUAUCGGGUUUUCAACAGUGAGUGUGUCUUAAGUUUUUUAGUGGAGCAGAGUGUAGCCAACAGCUCAAUUUCAGAGAACAGUGUAAGUGAACUGCUAGGAUAGGAAAACACUGAAAGCAUUCAAGGAAUGAGAAAUCAUGAGACGUAUGUCUAGAGCACAGGAGACCGAUGGGACAUCAAGGUAGAUCAGGCUGGAAAACCAGAUGGGGAUACAAUUAUGAGGGGUUUUGUAUAUCAUAGGAAAGAAUUUGGCUUUUAUUCUUUGGGCAGUGGAAAGCUGCUGAAUAUUUAAUGAGAUGUUAAACUAAUGUAGCAUGAAUUAUGAGUUAUGAAAAUAAUGAGGUUUUAAAUCCAUAUGGGUAAAAGUAGAUAUAGGCUAGAACAAAGGCAGAGAUCCUGGUUAUAAAAGGACUAAGAUGUAGGGACAUUUUUCCAUAGAAGUGUUGGGAUUUGGUGACUAAUCGGACUUCAGAAGUAUGUUUCUAUGUUAGGUUUCCAUUUUGGAUGACUCUGUGAAAGGAAAGGAAAUGAGUUCAGUUUGGAAACAGGUGGGUUUGAGAUGUCUGCAGACAUUAACGAUAAUUAACUGGCUAUAGAUUCUAGAGCUCAGGAGAGAGGUUGGGGCUGUACAUGUAAAUCUGAGUCAUUAACAUUGUACGGGACAUGGAAGUGCUUCCAGGAAUCCAUGCCAUCUUUCAGAAGUACAGAGAAGACACUCUCACAACUGCUAUACUUUAUUUCAGUAAAUUGUAACUUCUGUCUUUCACUUGUAAAAGUUUAUAUUCAAGUUAAUCAAAUUAUUCUUAUUCUUUUCAAAGUGUUAAUGAUUAUCAUGAAGUUGCUUGACAAUGAAAAUAAAUCAUUGCAAGAAUAGAUAUAAA